GUAAUGAUGUAGCCAUAUUGAAUGUCGUGGCGCUGUUGAUUCGUGCUUGAUGAUCGCAAUGUCUGUCGUGGGACAGACAUUCCGAUAAGGUAAUUAGUUUAAGAUGCAAUACGAAACUGUCACUAAGAUUACAAGAGAUGCCCAAUAUUUCCCGGAUGAUAUUUUGACUCAUGCAUUAUGUUAUCAUUAGCAAGCAGGAAGUGAUGAAAGCAACAACAAAUAGAAAGAUUUCUUCAAAUACUUACAUGGUAUGAUUGCCAGUAUACGUUAUCUUCAACAAGAAAUCAAAAAUUCUUGCAAACCCAAGAAAUCGAUUCUAGCAUGAGCUGAAACAAUCAUACGAGGUACGAUUUAAGAGCAUUAAUUAACUAUAUAACGCAGCUUUCUGAACAGUGAAUUUUAUUGGCUCUAUAGUAUGUAACGAUGUUUUGUGUUCAGAUCAAUGAAAUUGCUUCGUUCUUUAGACUGAACCUUCGCCCAAAUGGAAGAAGUCUUGUCAAAACUAUGAGAAGUGUAC